GGGUGGAUGGCAGAGCGGUUGAUUGCACCGGUCUUGAAAACCGGCGGGCGUGCAAGCGUCUCGGGGGUUCGAAUCCCUCUCCACCCGCCA
rnacentral:tRNA from 1 species